rnacentral:rRNA from 1 species
GAGAUGAGGUGCUUGCACCUUAUCUUAGCGGCGGACGGGUGAGUAAUGCUUAGGAAUCUGCCUAUUAGUGGGGGACAACAUUCCGAAAGGAAUGCUAAUACCGCAUACGUCCUACGGGAGAAAGCAGGGGAUCUUCGGACCUUGCGCUAAUAGAUGAGCCUAAGUCGGAUUAGCUAGUUGGUGGGGUAAAGGCCUACCAAGGCGACGAUCUGUAGCGGGUCUGAGAGGAUGAUCCGCCACACUGGGACUGAGACACGGCCCAGACUCCUACGGGAGGCAGCAGUGGGGAAUAUUGGACAAUGGGGGGAACCCUGAUCCAGCCAUGCCGCGUGUGUGAAGAAGGCCUUAUGGUUGUAAAGCACUUUAAGCGAGGAGGAGGCUACUGAGACUAAUACUCUUGGAUAGUGGACGUUACUCGCAGAAUAAGCACCGGCUAACUCUGUGCCGGCAGCCGCGGUAAUACAGAGGGUGCGAGCGUUAAUCGGAUUUACUGGGCGUAAAGCGUGCGUAGGCGGCUUUUUAAGUCGGAUGUGAAAUCCCCGAGCUUAACUUGGGAAUUGCAUUCGAUACUGGGAAGCUAGAGUAUGGGAGAGGAUGGUAGAAUUCCAGGUGUAGCGGUGAAAUGCGUAGAGAUCUGGAGGAAUACCGAUGGCGAAGGCAGCCAUCUGGCCUAAUACUGACGCUGAGGUACGAAAGCAUGGGGAGCAAACAGGAUUAGAUACCCUGGUAGUCCAUGCCGUAAACGAUGUCUACUAGCCGUUGGGGCCUUUGAGGCUUUAGUGGCGCAGCUAACGCGAUAAGUAGACCGCCUGGGGAGUACGGUCGCAAGACUAAAACUCAAAUGAAUUGACGGGGGCCCGCACAAGCGGUGGAGCAUGUGGUUUAAUUCGAUGCAACGCG